GCAUCACAUAUAAUCAAUUUUAUUGCCAGGUAAGAAAUUCAUAUUAAUAUAGUGAAUACAUAUGUUUACAAAUAAACAUUCUUAGAAAACAAACAAAUGUUUUUUUCAUCAAUGUAGGAAGUAUUAUUGGUAUCAUAAACUCUGCAGUUGUUGACAAGUAUUAACACAGGUUUACUUGCAGAACAUACGGUUACUAAAAUAUUUGCACAUAAAAUAUGCUCCAUUUACACACACACAAAAAAAACCUGGGGAGAGUUAGAUGGGGAUGCCAGGUGGAGCCCAAGGCAGAUGAAGGAUGAGAUAUUCUGGGAGGGCAAAGAGAAGUCAGAUUCUUGUCCCAUUGGGUUGGAAGUGGGGGAGUAGCUAAGAGUACGUAGAGGAAGUGCCAGGGCAUGGGAUGAGAAGGUAGUCUCCCUGCUUUGUUCUGGUUUCCGUCUUCUAAGUUUCCCCACUCUAGCUAGAGGAUCCUUGCUGAUACAUGGCCAUCAUAGUUUUACAGGUCAUCCUUCAGGGUAACCUUUCAGUAUCAAAAGGUCUGUCCACUGUCCCUAGAAGAAGCCAAAAAACAAACUUCCCUGUUGAAACUUCCUCACUCCCCCGACAAGUUCAGCUCCCAAAGC
rnacentral:lncRNA from 1 species